rnacentral:rRNA from 1 species
UGGGGAAUAUUGGACAAUGGGCGAAAGCCUGAUCCAGCGACGCCGCGUGGGUGAAGAAGGCCUGCGGGUUGUAAAGCCCUUUCGGUGGGGAAGAAAAGUCUCGGUCUAAUACACUGGGAUCUUGACGUAACCCACAAAAGAAGCACCGGCUAACUCUGUGCCAGCAGCCGCGGUAAUACAGAGGGUGCGAGCGUUAAUCGGAAUUACUGGGCGUAAAGCGCGCGUAGGCGGCUUUGCAAGUCGGUUGUGAAAUCCCCGGGCUUAACCUGGGAACUGCAUUCGAGACUGCAUUGCUAGAGUAUGGGAGAGGGAAGUGGAAUUUCAGGUGUAGCGGUGAAAUGCGUAGAUAUCUGAAGGAACAUCAGUGGCGAAAGCGACUUCCUGGACCAAUACUGACGCUCAUGUGCGAAAGCGUGGGGAGCAAACAGGAUUAGAUACCCCUGUAGUCC